GACGAACGCUGGCGGCGUGCUUAACACAUGCAAGUCGAACGGAAAGGCCCUGCUUGCAGGGUACUCGAGUGGCGAACGGGUGAGUAACACGUGGGUGAUCUGCCCUGCACUUCGGGAUAAGCCUGGGAAACUGGGUCUAAUACCGGAUAGGAGCCAUUUUUAGUGUGAUGGUUGGAAAGUUUUUUCGGUGUAGGAUGAGCUCGCGGCCUAUCAGCUUGUUGGUGGGGUAAUGGCCUACCAAGGCGGCGACGGGUAGCCGGCCUGAGAGGGUGGACGGCCACAUUGGGACUGGGAUACGGCCCAGACUCCUACGGGAGGCAGCAGUGGGGAAUAUUGCACAAUGGGCGCAAGCCUGAUGCAGCGACGCCGCGUGGGGGAGGACGGCCUUCGGGUUGUAAACUCCUUUCGCUAGGGACGAAGCUUUUUGUGACGGUACCUAGAGAAGAAGCACCGGCUAACUACGUG
rnacentral:rRNA from 1 species